GCAAGUCGAGGGGCAGCGGGGUGUAGCAAUACACUGCCGGCGACCGGCGCACGGGUGCGUAACGCGUAUGCAACCUACCCAUAACAGGGGGAUAACACUGAGAAAUUGGUACUAAUACCCCAUAACAUCAGGACCGGCAUCGGUUCUGGUUGAAAACUCCGGUGGUUAUGGAUGGGCAUGCGUUGUAUUAGCUGGUUGGUGAGGUAACGGCUCACCAAGGCAACGAUACAUAGGGGGACUGAGAGGUUAACC
rnacentral:rRNA from 1 species